rnacentral:tRNA from 1 species
GGAAAGUGUGGCUGUGUGGACGGCAACUGGUUUGGAAUACCAGCGUGCAGCGUAAAGCUGUAGAGGUUCGACUCCUCCACUUUCCG